rnacentral:lncRNA from 1 species
GCCUGAAUUGUUUUUAAAAGGCCAAUUCAGAAUAUUUUAAAAAGUAUUUUAGUGUGUCAAAUGUGAAUUGACACACAGUAUUUUGCUCACAGCAAGCUGAGAAAUCUUCAGAAUAUGAACUUUUUAUAUGACUUGGUAACUAACAAUUCAAAAAGGUAAACCUGACUGUUUUGUAAUGAAUGUUUUUUGGAAACACAUUUGAAAUCCAUCAUUCACCCAACAAGCUUGGAUUUGCAUGUCUUGGGCAUUAUCUUUUCUUCACUUGGCAAGCAUAGCUGCAGACAACAUUUCUGCUUGUCUAAAGAGUUUCUUUGUUGGUAAAACUUUACUCACUUUUUAGUGACAGAGUGAUGUUUUUGAAAAGAAACCCUAAAAGGGUUUUAAGCUGCUUUGUUACAUUGCUAGUUUAUCAUUAGUGCUCAUUAUCUGCAUAUUUGGCAAGGAUGCAGGAUGUUUAGGAUAAUUUCAUUUUGUCAAAUUUAGUUCUGACAUUUAUUUAAGAAUAGCCAAUUCUCAAUUUCUCAGAGUAAUGUAGAAAAGCCCAGUCAUGGAUUAGCCACAUAAUGUAUUGGAAUAUGUAGAUUAGUCAGUUACAGUAAUUAACAUGUAGAAACUAAUGUUCUGCAGUUUUGUUCAGCUAUAACUGGAAAGUGCUGAAAUCUCAAGCAGUGAUAACCAUCAGUAUUAUAUGUACAGCAAAGUAUAUUUAUAUUCAAAAGAAUACAAAAAUAAUUUUAAGUAAAACAGAAAAAAAACCCAGUUCUUUAAAAAACACAAUUGUUGUUUACUCUUUUUUAUUUGCUCUUUUUGCACACAGCUGCUGGUGGGGUUUGGUGGGUGAUGAAGUAAGUAGGAAGAUGAAUGGCGUCAUUACUACCUGGGACACAGAGGAAAUUACUUAACCGGAUCCCUGGGUGGCGCAGCGGUUUGGCGCCUGCCUUUGGCCCAGGGCGCGAUCCUGGAGACCGGGGAUCGAGUCCCACAUCAGGCUCCUGGUGCAUGGAGCCUGCUUCUCCCUCUGCCUGUGUCUCUGCCUCUCUCUCUCUCUCUCUGUGUGACUAUCAUAAAUAAAUAAAAAUUAAAAAAAAAAAAAAAAGGAAAUUACUUAACCACUUGUUGCCUCAGUUUCCUCUUUGUAACAUGGGAAAAAUAUAACCUACUUCAUGAGGUGCUUCAAAUAACAUCUGGCAGGGCAACCUGGGUGGCUCAGCAGUUUAGCACUCCCUUUGGUCCACGCGUGACCCUGGAGACCCAGGAUUGAGUCCCACGUCAGGCUCCCUGCAUGGAGCCUGCCUGUGCCUCUGCCUCUCUCUGCCUCUCUCUGUGUCUCUCAUAAAUAAAUACAUAAAAUCUUAAAAAAAAAAAAAAACC